rnacentral:rRNA from 1 species
UGGGGAAUAUUGCACAAUGGGGGAAACCCUGAUGCAGCGACGCCGCGUGAGUGAGGAAGUAUUUCGGUAUGUAAAGCUCUAUCAGCAGGGAAGAAAAUGACGGUACCUGACUAAGAAGCCCCGGCUAACUACGUGCCAGCAGCCGCGGUAAUACGUAGGGGGCAAGCGUUAUCCGGAUUUACUGGGUGUAAAGGGAGCGUAGACGGAGGAGCAAGUCUGAUGUGAAAAUCCGGGGCCCAACCCCGGAACUGCAUUGGAAACUGUUUAUCUAGAGUGUCGGAGAGGCAAGUGGAAUUCCUAGUG